rnacentral:rRNA from 1 species
GAUCAUGGCUCAAAAUCAACGCUGGCGGCGUGCCCCCUAUUUGCAAGUCAAACGAUUAAAACUCUCUUCGGAGAGUGCAUAAAGGGGCGCACGGGUGAGUAACACGUAAGUAAUCUACCCUCGGGGGGGGAAUAACGUCCGGAAACGGACGCUAAUACCGCAUAACGCACCACCGUCUAUGACGAUGCUGUUAAAGGAGCAAUUCGCCUGGGGAGGAGCUUGCGGCAAAUUAGCUUGUUGGUAGGGUAACGGCCUACCAAGGCGACAAUCUGUAGCCGGUCUAAAAGGACGGUCGGUCACACUGACACUGAAUAACGGGUCAAACUCCUACGGGAGGCAGCAGUCGGGAAUUUUGGGCAAUGGGGGAAACCCUGACCCAGCAACGCCGCGUGAAGGAUGAAGUUUUUCGGAAUGUAAACUUCGUAAGAAUGGGAAGAACAAAUGACGGUACCAUUUGUAAGCCCCGGCUAACUACGUG